UACGGGGGGGGUAAGCGUUGUUCGGAAUUACGGGGCGUAAAGGGCUCGUAGGCGGCCAACUAAGUCAGACGUGAAAUCCCUCAGCUUAACUGGGGAACUGCGUCUGAUACUGGCGAGCUUGAGUGCAGGAGAGGAACGCGGAAUUCCAGGUGUAGCGGUGAAAUGCGUAGAUAUCUGGAGGAACACCGGUGGCGAAGGCGGCGUUCUGGACUGCUACUGACACUGAGGAACGAAAGCCAGGGGAGCAAACGGG
rnacentral:rRNA from 1 species